AAUCAACGCUGGCGGCGUGCCUAGCACAUGCAAGUCGCACGAGAAAGGGUCUUCGGAUCUGAGUAAAGUGGCGCACGGGUGAGUAACACGUGAAUUAUCUACCUUCGAGUGGGGAAUAACUUCGGGAAACCGAGGCUAAUACCGCAUAAUAUCUACGGAUCAAAGCAGUAAUGCGCUUGAAGAGGAGUUCGCGGCAGAUUAGUUAGUUGGCGGGGUAAUGGCCCACCAAGACGAUGAUCUGUAUCCGGCCUGAGAGGGCGCACGGACACACUGGAACUGAAACACGGUCCAGACUCCUACGGGAGGCAGCAGUGGGGAAUUUUGCGCAAUGGGGAAACCUUGACGCAGCAACGCCGCGUGGAGGAUGAAGUCUCUUGGGACGUAAACUCCUUUCGAUAGGGAAGAUUAUGACGGUACCUAUAGAAGAAGCCUCGGCUAACUUCGUGCCAGCCGCCGCAGUAA
rnacentral:rRNA from 1 species